rnacentral:lncRNA from 1 species
AGAUUAUUCUUUGAUUGAAUCCUACUUCUCAAAAAAAACCAAAACAAAACAAAACAAAAAACCUCCCCUAGUUCAUUCCCAAAACCUGUUCUAGCUCUACUUUAAAACACAUUUUCAACCUGUACUUAAACAGCCCCGAAAAAGAAGUGAUGUUUCUCUGACACUACAUUCAGGGUUUCCUGCUCUGCACAGAGCAUUCCCGGCAGGCAUUUCUCGGCGAGACAAGUUGCUGGGAGGAUUUGAACUCGAUGUCAAGAUCCGUCCGUGCUUCGAGGCACAGCGUCCCGAUCUCGCCCGCUCCCAGCGGCCGGGAGCAGCGGGAUAGCAGAUACGUAAGGAAACGAGAUGAACACAACGACCUCACAGCACGGCGGGGACAGCGGGCGUGCACCGCUCGAUCCCGCCUAGCUGCCCCAAACGACAGCAUCCCGGCAAAAGGGAAGGCUCGGCAGCGGAGAGGUGCAGCAAAGCGGGAACAGCCGGGACACAGCGGGGCUGGACCCGCGCUGUGGGAGCAGCUCCCAGAGACCCCCGAGCUCUGGGAAUCUGUGGCAAUAAGAGAUCAUAAGAGAACUGUGGCAAAGUAAAAUGCCAAAAGGCAUAUAAUGAAACUUGGGAGUCAUUUGGAUCAUUUAAAAAAUGGAGAAUAAGCCAAAGUAGCAGAAAAUAGAGCAGGAGGAAUCUGAGGUUUAUUCAAUUGUUACUGAAAAGAAUUCCUGAACAGCAGUGGAACCAGGGCCAGAAUCCUGGGCUCCGUGAACUCAGCUGUGCUCCUGUCCUUGAGACUAUCAACAGAGUUUGUUUUCUCUCCAAGUCUUGCAUUCAUUUCUAGGAAAAGAAGUCAGCAGGAACAGUGGGAGCUGUUCCCUUUUACGUAUAACCAGGAGGGUUAGUACCUAAGCACUGAUGUGGUCUUUUCUUCCAGGCUUGAUGCCCCCAGGUCGGGAAAUAAUUACAAGUAUAUUAGUCAUAGGGCCAGUAAUAGUGGAAUAAGGCAAGUGCUGUCAGUGUCCUGCCCAGAGCACACAUUUCACUGGGAUGAGAUGGCAGUGAGCAGAAUCAGCACCACUGGCAGCACUUCAGACAUCGACACAGACGCUGCUUAAUUCUCACUCCUGCAGUGCCUCAGCUUCUCGAGCUGGGUCAGGUAAUCUUGCCCAGAACCAGAUUCACACAUUUUCAAAGGAACUUUCAGGUCAAAUGAGGAUUUUUCAUAGUUAAAAGGUGGCUGAGAGAGGUGGAACUUUCCCCUGGUUAGAAUGCAGGGUCUGCAUUAAGCAUCUGUUGCCUGCCCGUAUUUUGGCUGGGGCUGGAGCCAGUGACCCUGGUGGACAGACAGAGCAGAGCAGGGGGGCAGCUCAGCCUCCCCAGCGCUGCUGCUGCAGCAAUAAUUCUCAUACCUCACAGUCUGUGGUGGGUGGCUUUGGCUUUUCUGGCCAGCAUCCAGCAGACAGCAAGGAUAUCAGCUCUUGUUAUUCCAGCUCAUUUCGCUCCCUACCUUCUGGUUCCUUUGUGGUGUGAAUGCAGAAACUGCUGUGCAUGUGUGUAGAACACAACAGUCCAUUCAGACACUUACAAAAAGGUUUAAAACUAUAUUUUUUUAAUUUUUUUUGCUCUUAAAAAACUAACAGAUGCCACUGAAAUUCUGCUCAAGGGCAUAGCUGAAUAGAGGAAGCAGAGAGUAUUGUGUUUGUAUAAAGGGAGGGUGACAAAUAAAAGAGUGGUUAGCAAUUAUUGGUUUCUAUUU